rnacentral:rRNA from 1 species
GACGAACGCUGGCGGCGUGCUUAACACAUGCAAGUCGAACGGAAAGGCCCUGCUUUUGUGGGGUGCUCGAGUGGCGAACGGGUGAGUAACACGUGAGUAACCUGCCCUUGACUUUGGGAUAACUUCAGGAAACUGGGGCUAAUACCGGAUAGGAGCUCCUGCUGCAUGGUGGGGGUUGGAAAGUUUCGGCGGUUGGGGAUGGACUCGCGGCUUAUCAGCUUGUUGGUGGGGUAGUGGCUUACCAAGGCUUUGACGGGUAGCCGGCCUGAGAGGGUGACCAGCCACAUUGCGACUGAGAGACGGCCCAGACUCCUACGGGAGGCAGCAGUGGGGAAUAUUGCACAAUGGGCGGAAGCCUGAUGCAGCAACGCCGCGUGCGGGAUGACGGCCUUCGGGUUGUAAACCGCUUUCGCCUGUGACGAAGCGUGAGUGACGGUAAUGGGUAAAGAAGCACCGGCUAACUACGUG